GUGAACGUUGGCGGUGCGUCUAAUACAUGCAAGUCGAGCGAGGCUUCGAGCCGAGCGGCAGACGGCUGAGUAACACGUUGGUAACUACCUCAAACUCAGGGAUAACUAUGAGAAAUCAUAGCUAAUACCGGAUGGUCCCGUAAGGGUAAAGUUUUUACGGUUUGAGAGGUGCCUGCGUCCUAUCAGGUAGUUGGUGAGGUAAUGGCUCACCAAGCCUAUGACGGGUAACUGGUCUGAGAGGAUGACCAGUCAGAGGGAAACUGAGACACGGUUCCCACUUCUACGGAAGGCAGCAGUAAAGAAUCUUCCACAAUGGACGAAAGUCUGAUGGAGCGACACCGCGUGCAGGAUGAAGGCCCUUGGGUCGUAAACUGCUUUUUUGGGGGAAAAAUUCUGAUUGUACCCUAAGAAUAAGCACCGGCAAAUCACGU
rnacentral:rRNA from 1 species